CACGUAGGGCGCAAGCGUUGUCCGUAAUUAUUGGGCGUAAAGAGCUCGUAGGCGGUCUGUUGCGUCCGCUGUGAAAACUCGGGGCUUAACCCCGAGCCUGCAGUGGAUACGGGCAGACUAGAGGUAGGUAGGGGAGAAUGGAAUUCCCGGUGUAGCGGUGAAAUGCGCAGAUAUCGGGAGGAACACCAGUGGCGAAGGCGGCUCACUGGCCCGGUACUGACGCUGAGGUGCGAAAGCGUGGGGAGCAAACAGG
rnacentral:rRNA from 1 species